AUUUUAUGCAUAAACAGGGUGGUAAGUUCCCAUCAAUACGACGUAGUUCAUCGUUAACAAAAAAAGCGUCUGGAUUAGCAAAUCAAAAAAAAGCAAAUUGUACAUGUUAUGGAGGUGUGUAAAUAUUAGUUCCUAUUUUCCGUUACGCCACUGUUCUGUUCCCGUUCCAUUCAUUUGUAAUUUUUCCAGUUUAAUUGUUUGAAAUUGGAUGAAAGCUUGAAUUUUAUUUUUUCGAUUAAACUAAUAUUGUGCUGAUAAGAGUUUACAGAGUGCACAUGGAAUAGGACUAAAUAAAAUUUCUGAAGAUUAGCUGCAUCUGGUAUAAUAUAAAAAAUCCAGCCUAUAGGUUAGUGACAUCUUUGACUAAUAUUUGAAAAAAGAAACUAAUGAAUGCAAGAGGGGUAUCAAAUUUGUUGAUCAUCCAUUGAAAUUGAUGAGUUGCAGGUAAAUUUUAAACGAGUAUUAUAAUAGUUUUAUGGACAAAAGCAAGGUUACACUCUUGGACACCUUGGCUUAAAAGUUGGCCAAUCAGAAUUUUUUUGGCCUAAUAAGUGGCAAAAUUUCAUACAUACAACAGUAUAACCAGCUAAAUGUAAGGUAAAUUCCGAUAUCGAGAAAAAGUCUACUACCUACCCUGGCCCUCUUUCCGUAUUUAUUAAACAAAUAAAUCACCACUUAAACCAUUGUUGCGCCCAAAAAAAUUUUCAUGAUUGAAUGUCCUUCUAUUACUUACAAGGACUUAGGCUUUAAGUUUGUUUAAGUACUUACCUUGGCAAACAAUUGCACAUGAAAUUAAAAAAUAAGGUUUUUCUUGUACUAAAUCGAAAUUACGUUUCAAAGAAGUGGGAUCCAAAAAUAUGAAAAUUUUGACGAUUUUGCAUAUAAUAUCUCAUAAAAUCUUAUUCGUUGAAUAAUUUUUUUCAAUUAGAUCUAUGGAAUUAUUAAACACACCCUCAU